GAUGAAGAACACAGCGAAAUGCGAUAAGUAGUGUGAAUUUCAGAAUUCAGUGAAUCAUCGAAUCUUUGAACGCACAUUGCGCCCUUUGGUAUUCCAAAGGGCAUGCCUGUUCGAGCGUCAUUUGUACCCUCAAGCUUUGCUUGGUGUUGGGCGUCUUGUCUCUAGCUUUGCUGGAGACUCGCCUUAAAGUAAUUGGCAGCCGGCCUACUGGUUUCGGAGCGCAGCACAAGUCGCACUCUCUAUCAGCAAAGGUCUAGCAUCCAUUAAGCCUUUUUUUCAACUUUUGACCUCGGAUCAGGUAGGGAUACCCGCUGAACUUAAGCAUAUCAAUAAGCGGAGGA
rnacentral:misc_RNA from 1 species